rnacentral:rRNA from 1 species
GUGAACGCUGGCGGUAGACCUAACACAUGCAAGUCGAACGGCAGCACCGUAAGAGCUUGCUCUUACGGGUGGCGAGUGGCGGACGGGUGAGGAAUACAUCGGAAUCUACUUUUUCGUGGGGGAUAACGUAGGGAAACUUACGCUAAUACCGCAUACGACCUACGGGUGAAAGCAGGGGAUCUUCGGACCUUGCGCGAUUGAAUGAGCCGAUGUCGGAUUAGCUAGUUGGCGGGGUAAAGGCCCACCAAGGCGACGAUCCGUAGCUGGUCUGAGAGGAUGAUCAGCCACACUGGAACUGAGACACGGUCCAGACUCCUACGGGAGGCAGCAGUGGGGAAUAUUGGACAAUGGGCGCAAGCCUGAUCCAGCCAUACCGCGUGGGUGAAGAAGGCCUGCGGGUUGUAAAGCCCUUUUGUUGGGAAAGAAAAGCAGCAGGUUAAUACCCCGCUGUUCUGACGGUACCCAAAGAAUAAGCACCGGCUAACUUCGU